AAUAUGUAAAGAUGGCAGCUCCCUACUCUCAGUUCUCCCCGAGUCCCACUCCAGUAAAUGUUUGCGUGGAAGCUGUACUUGAAAGUCAGAUUCAAGAAGUCAGAGUAGUAGAAAAACCAGAUGCACCAGACGGACAUGAGAUUCAAGAAGUUUACGUUCCACCACUGUCUAUGUCAGAGAAUCUGACAAAAUUAGCGCAGAAGAUUGACUUUUACAAAGAUGAAAGUGACGAGAAAGGAAAACCCACUUCUGAGGGUGAAAAAGAAGAGGAAGAAAAAACAGGAGCAGCUUUUCAGCCAUCGCUUUGGCCCUGGGACUCUGUUAGAACCAAGCUAAGAACAUCACUGACAGAAAUGAGUGUUUUAUUGGACAUACUGAAUGUAUCCUCCAGUAAAGAGAAGCGCUACAUGGUAUUAGACCCCGUACAACAGAAUGCCCCUGAUCCAAAGCUAGCCGUACAGCUCAUGUCCAAAAGAAGAGCUCUUCAGUCAGCUGCCAGUGUUCUACAGUCAGGUGCAGAAAGGUUACGAAAGUCACACGCUGAAAUCAACAAUAAAAAUGACUUUCACUUGGAACUGUUAAAUGUUCGACAGAAAUGGAGACUAAAAAAGACAGGCACCUCAAUUUUAGGCGAUCUCAGUUAUAGAUCAGGUCUGUUUUUAUUUGUUAAUUUCUCACGUAAUUUGAUUGAACAUCACAUUGAUUUCAGUAAUGCUUUUAUGACAGGUGCUGAUUCACACAAUGCAUGACUUUCUGUGACAGCUAUAUUAACAUGGUGUUUAUAGUGACAAUCUGAUUCAUUCUGUCAUAUUAUGUGCUAUUUUUACGUAAUUUGAUGAUUAGUUGGAUCAAGAUACAUGCAUAAUGGAGUGUUUGAGGUGGUGAAGAGUUCAGAUCUGACCGCGGAGGGGGAGUUCCUGGCCCAGCGUGGAAGCCUGGAUGUGGUGGUCCCCACAGAGCUAGAGGGCGGGGCCUACAUACAGGUGGAGGUCAAGUCUGUACCAGGUAACUGCAUCACAGGUAAAAAGACAUUUCUAAUUCAACAUAAUUGAUUGUGUUCUCAAUAUUAGGUCCAGGUUGUGUUGUGUUUAAGGUAAUGACUCUAACAGGGAAGUUAUGAUAUUAAGUAUGUUACUUAGUACAUUGGAGCAUUACAAUGUAUUUGUGUUGCUUAGAUACCAUGGAUCUGACUGGAGCCAUUCUACGAGUGCCGUCAGGAAUUGGACCAGUCCGAAGUGAAACCUACUGGCAGCAGAAGCUAGAAAAAGCACAGAAUGUUUUGUUCUGUAAAGAAAUAUUUGCACAGUUGGCCAGAGAAGCUGUUCAAUCCAAAGCCUCUAUUCCACACCUGGUGGUUGGGAACCAGAUUAUAACUAAUGUUUUUCCUGGUAUUCAAUUAUCUAUUGUCCUCUGCCAUUCAACAGGAAAAGAGAGAGAGAAAAAGCUCCCCCAAUACAAGAUGGACCACAAUCACGUGUUGGAACACUCCCUGCAUCAGCUCCUCCGUGAGAACCAUUUCAAGAAUAUCAAUUUCCCCGCCCCUCACCCGGUCACGGCGCUGGUGGGUCUGACUAAAAAACGGAGACUGGCCGGCCCCAACGCUCUCAGUCGUAAACAGCUGAUGGACAUGUCCGACAGUGAGAGUAUGUUGGAUCAGAUUAUCAAACAGACUAAGCACAAUGUCUUAAGAUUGAGGUUUGUAGUCCAGUCUUCACUUAGAUCUAUUAUAAAAAAAAAUCAAAUGCCCUUUACUAUGACUUGUAGCAGACAAAAGACUAGGCUAUAUACUGUCUUUCAUUAAUUAAUUAAUUGUUAUCAAUAACAGGACCAUGCAGACUAUUGAUGGAAUAGCAGCCACCCUGUCUGAUCCACAGCUGACCGUCCACUGGAGCUGUUGUAACAGCAGCACAGAGGCCAGCUGUAGGGUCAUCAUAACAUCUCAAGGUUACGACCUUAGGGUGUGGCACAGCUUCGUGAUCAUCAUCGGUGUGGACAGCCUCAAGGUGAUCAUCAAGGAGGGGCGGGUCUUCUUCCUCUCGUUUGAAGAGAAGGAGCUACAGGAUUUCAUCAUGUGGCAGGUGUCGCAGCAUCAGAUCUCAGUGUCCCAGAAUCUGGCACGAUUGAUGGGCUGGCAGAUCAUGAGUACCAGCACAGCGAUGGGCGUGUCUGACCUAGAAUCCUCGGGAACCGCUUCCUCUCUCAUCCUCGCAGCCCCAAACAAAGAGAGGAUUCUUGCCAUUAAAAGUGGGCCAUCCAGUGGAAUCAAAGUGUUUCUUCAGCAAUCUCAAAAGGACAACAAAAACAGAGUUAUCCUCCCUGACGAUAAAUGGCAGAGUGUUGGCGCUGACUAUCAGCAGGUCGAUCUUUCAAAAUUUGAGGGCAGAAAUUUUGCCUCAAAACUUGAACUCUUAUUAGCAACAUUUUCUCAUGAUUUAUCAUCAAGCUCAUCCUGAAAUAAACUCUUCUCAAGCC
rnacentral:misc_RNA from 1 species